rnacentral:rRNA from 1 species
CAAUAGCGUAUAUUAACGUUGUUGCAGUUAAAAAGCUCGUAGUUGGAUUUCUGGAGGGAGCGUCGGCCCGUAUUUACGAGUGCGUGACGUCUCUGUCCAUCCUUGCGGGAAGGCACGGCAUUGAUUUGUUGUGUCGGAUCGCAUCAUUUACUGUGAAAAAAUUAGAGUGUUCAAAGCAGGCUUUCGCUUGAAUACAUUAGCAUGGAAUAAUAAGAUAGGACUUUGGUGCUAUUUUGUUGGUUGAGCCUAAAGUAAUGAUUAAUAGGGAUAGUUGGGGGCACCUGUAUUGCGUUGUCAGAGGUGAAAUUCUUGGAUUUACGCACGACAAACAGCUGCGAAAGCGUCUGCCAAGGAUGUUUUCAUUAA